UGGUGGAGUGAUUUGUCUGGUUUAUUCCGUUAACGAACGAGACGUGUGUAUGUAGUUUAUUUGCUUGUCCUUUGGACGAGGUCAAGUACCUACAUAGACUAUUAGUGACUAACUAAUUGAAGUGACACGCAAUAACA
rnacentral:rRNA from 1 species